GGGAAUCUUCGGCAAUGGGCGAAAGCCUGACCGAGCAACGCUGCGUGAAUGAAGAAGGCCUUCGGGUUGUAAAAUUCUGUUAUAAGGGAAGAAAGGUGAUAGGAGGAAAUGACUAUCAAUUGACGGUACCUUAUGAGAAAGCCACGGCUACCUACGUGCCAGCAGCCGCGGUAAUACGUAGGUGGCAAGCGUUAUCCGGAAUUACUGGGCGUAAAGGGUGCGUAGGUGGUUUCUUAAGUCAGAGGUGAAAGGCUACGGCUCAACCGUAGUAAGCCUUUGAAACUGGGAAACUUGAGUGCAGGAGAGGAGAGUGGAAUUCCUAGUGUAGCGGUGAAAUGCGUAGAUAUUAGGAGGAACACCAGUGGCGAAAGCGGCUCUCUGGUCUGUAACUGACGCUGAGGUUCGAAAGCGUGGGUAGCA
rnacentral:rRNA from 1 species